rnacentral:tRNA from 2 species
GGGGUAUUAGCUCAGUUGGAAGAGCAGCUGACUCUUAAUCAGCGGGUCGCAGGUUCGAGCCCUGCAUGCCCCAUCA